rnacentral:lncRNA from 1 species
CGUGGAAGUAAUGGUGUUUACGGUGUUCUUAGCAACGGAGCAGAAGAAGGUUGAAUUCCCAAUCGCUUCAGCUGCUUCUUCUGGAAAACAUUCAAUUUUAAGAUCAGUCGGAGAGCACGAAAGGAAAGGAAAAUCCGGGACAGGGAUAUAGAGGACUUGAACUCCUGGCAGCAGCAGCCUGGACGGGAAGAAACAGAGCUGCAGCGCCAUUUCCUGGCACCGAGAGUGGCGCUUUGUCAUCGAUCCUCGACACAAAUUUCGGGUAGAAUGACCCCCCUUUAUUUAGGGUGGGCCCCGUUUGCUUAUUUGGAUUUGCAUGCCACCUCAUUGCUUACAUGCACAUGCCACCUCAUUACUGUAUAUUAUUUUCAACUAUUUUUAAGUAUUUAAAAGUACAAAAUCAAAUAUAUUAUUUAUUCUACUAUAACAGCAUUAUCUUGAUUGUAUAGCUUAAUAUGACUACAUAGAAUAUUAAAUGUAGCUUCCUUUCUCUCUCUUGUGGAAGAAGACCAACAGUAAUACAAAAACUAAAAGAAUAUUCCAAUACUAAAGAGAAUGAAUAAAAUAAGCAAAGCAAUUAGUCUAACCAUAAUACUAAAGAGAAUGAAUAAAAUAAGAAAGAAAAUAUAAGGAGCACAAACAUAAAACACAAUGAGGAAAAACCUAAACCAAUCGUAGGUUAUAUACUUAUAAAUUAUAGCCGUUCAUUCACUGGCUAAUUAUAAAAUUAUAGUCCUUAACAUAUCCGUUAACAGCAUCUACUAAUUAAAAUUUAGCGUUAAACAUUUAGGGUGCAGAGCUGGGCGUGACUAAGCGCCACGGAGGAAGCAAGGAGUGAGCGUGCUGUAUUGUGCAUUUCUUCCCAAAUUUCUUCUGCGAGCUGUACCACGACACUUCCGCAAACUCGCGCUCCCGAGCCAGUGUCAAGAAGUCCUCUUCCAGAGACGCAUCGUCCGCCACCGACAGCGUCACAGACCUCUUCGUCAUGGGCUGUACGGAGAACGUCAGCUGGGAAACAGCUCCAAGAACUCCCAGCGAGAUCCUGGCGUCGUGGAACAGAUCACUCCCCUCCGCGACCGUGACAACUUUAGCAAAGCCUUCGUUCUUGGAGGCCGGAACGACGAUUCUCAUGGACACGAGGUACUCGUAAGUUCCUCCGCCGCGACCCCAAAGGCUGCUGCCAUGGGCCCCCGCGCUCACCAUGCCCGCCGGCGACACGCCGUCCCAGGCGAUGGUCUGGUGCAAAGUCACGCCUUGCAUCGCCAGGAGAUCGAUAAGCUCGCCAAGCAUGAUUCCAGGGGGUGUGGAGACCGUCAUAGAGCUCUUGUCGACAACGACGCUCGAGUUGGAGUUGAAGCUAGCGGUGCUGAUGACAACCCCCCCUGUGUCGGAUCCGGAGUUUGGACACGCGAAUUUGGUCAUGGUAUGUGCCUCCCUGCUUACCACUUUGAUCUUCUGCUUGCUCUUGACUGCGUAGGCCACGGCGUCGAGGAGCUCGGCCUCGUUGGUCGGGAAGAACGCCUUGGUGAUCUUGCAAGGCCUGCGAUCUGGCCAUGGACCUCUGAGAUAGUUCUUGAGCUCGCAGCCACUCGCAUCGCAUUCUACUAGAGAUCUUACAAGAUGCAAGUUGAGAGAAAAGAGGAGGGCGAGGAGGACGAACUUCAUGAUCUCGAGUACUUGGUGGUGAAAGCUCUCAAAGAUUUAUGGAUCAUUUUCUAUCAAAUGCCACCUUGACUUACGUCAGUAAAAUCAUUUAAUAAUUAGUAUCCCAGGAAACGCUAAUUGACUCUUAGAGAGAAAAUAUGUUUAUAAGUUGUUACUUUCCACAAAAUACAUAGCAUGAAAGCAAAUAUCAGUCAAUGAAGGCCAUUUGUCUUUGCGGCGUAGCUAUCACUGGGAACAUCAUGUGCACCACAAGACCAACCAGCUAACACCAGUCCUUCAAAAUGUUCGUAAAAUUCCGAGAUGUUUCUGAUACUGCAUCUUGUCUUUGAGCUCCAAGUGCCACUUCCCACAAGUAAAGCAAUGCGGCCAAGGAGAAAGAAAGAUUUGGAUCAGAGUCAAGUAAGCCAUAAUCAAACUCCACACUAUAGAAAAACUGAAAUUCAAUUCUUGAAAAUUCACAAGAGAUUUAAUUACUGAAUCUACUACUCCACACAGGAGCAAUGCUUGGAUUGACAUAUGCUCUAGUGAAAAUUAGCACUAGAAAUGCAGCGCCUAGAUCAAGAACAUUAGUAUUAGUAUUUUGCAAUGAGUGAAAUUGAGGAUUUCUGUAGUGCCAACAAACAAGAAGAGCAUCAUCUUCAUGGUUACCCAAGACAACCUAUCAAGCCCUGGAGAUAGAGGUGUUGGUUAUUUAAAUCCACAUAAGUUGAUCAUGUGAUAUAAAUUAUUAAGAGUUCCAGUUGAGGAUGCUGGAUUGAGCUCUAUUGAGUGGAUCCCAGGCAAGCCUGAGGAGCUUUCAAGAAUCUAAUCUGCAAUGCAAGGGCAGUAUCAAGCAGACAACGACGUUCUGGUGAUAAGUCUUUCACGUCCCGGAUAAAGCUGGCCGAUGGAGAUAGAUACCGAGACGUGGAACCAGAAUAGGCCGUAAGUUCGGAACUCCCAACCACAGACGAGCCUCUUGGACACCGGGAGAGCCAAGUUGGUGGAGUUGCUAUAAGUGUACUGGCAGCCCCCUCGAGCUUGAAACUUGUGGAAGUAUUUCCGACCCGAGAAAUGUUGCUGCUGCUCAUCGUUGAAUAAUCCGCCAACCGUGGAAGUAAUGGUGUUCACGGUGUUCUUAGCAACGGAACAGAAGAAGGUUGAAUUCCCAAUCGCUUCAGCUGCUUCUUCUGGAAACAAUUCAAUUUUAAGAUCAGUCGGAGAGCACGAAAGGAAAGGAAAAUCCGGGAGAACGGCUCAGUCUUGAACUCCUGGCAGCAGCAGCCUGACGGGAAGAAAUAGAGGUGUAGUCUCAGCCCCAUUUCCUGCCACCGAGAGUGGCGCUCUGUCAUCGGUCCUCCACACGUAUUUCUUCUGCGAGCUGUACCACAACACUUGCCCAAACUCGUGCUCCCGAGCCAGCCUCAAGAAGUUGUCCUCCAGCGACGCAUCGUCCGCCACCGACAGCGUCACAGACCUCUUCGUCAUGGACCGUACAGAGGCCGGGACGACGAUUCUCAUGGACACGAGGUACUCGUAAGUUCCUCCUCCGCGACUCCACAGGCUGCUGCCGUGAGCCCCCGUGCUCACCAUGCCCGCUGGCGGGUGCAAAGUCACGCCUUGCACCGCCAGGAGAUCCAUGAGCUCGCCAAGCAUGAUUCCAGGAGGCGUGGAGGCCGUCAUGGAGCUCUUGUCGACGACGACGCUCGAGAUGGAGUUGAAGCUAGCGGUGCUGAUGACAACUUCCCCUGUGUCGGAUCCGGAGUUUGGACACGCGAAUUUGGUCAUGGUAUGUGCCUCCCUGCUUACCACUUUGAUCUUCUUGCGAUCCGGCCAUGGACCUCUGAGAUAGUUCUUGAGCUCGCAGCCACUCGCAUCGCAUUCUACUAGAGAUCUUACAAGAGCAAGUCGAGAGAAAAGAGGAGGGUGGACGAACUUCAUGAUCUCGAGCACUUCCGGUGAAAACUCUGUCAAUAAAAUGAUUUAAUAAUUAGUAUAUUGGUGGGUUGACAAACCCUAGGUAUGAAAGCAAGAAUCAGUCAAUGAAGGCCAUUUGUCUUUGCGGCCUAUCUAUCACUGGGAGCACCAAUCCUUCAUAAGGCUUGUAAAUUCCAUCCUGUCACUUCCCGCAAGUAAAGCAAUGCAGUCAAGGAGAAAGAAAGAUUUGAGUCUUGAUCAAACUCCACAGUAGAGAAAAAUUGAAUUUCAUAGUUAAUGAAAUUCAAAUGAAACUCUUGUAAAAUCUUGAAAAUUCAAAAGAGAUUCUUAAUUACUGAAUUAGUAUUCUCCUAGAAAUGCUAGUGCUUAUCAGCGUAGUAAUUUCAAGUAACUGGUAGUGCCUUUAUUUGGCACAUAUCGCUUUGCCACAUAAGCUGAGAUUGCCAAUAAAAAUUUCAUAUAAUUAUAUCAUAUUAAUAAUUCACAAUGAGUGAAAUCUCAAAUUUCUCUAGUGCAAACAAAGAAGAGGAACAUCAUCUCCUGCCCAGCUAAGACAACCUAUCAAGCCUUGGAGAUAAAACUCCAUAGUUCUACAGGUCAUUAAAGUUUUGAUGGGUGUGCAAUUUAAAGGUUCUUUUAUCCCACUCUAAAAACACUUUAAAAAUCGGUCAUUAGGGCACUAAUUUAUGUGUUUUUAAGGGUUUCCAAAAAAAAUCAAAAUUAGGAUAAUAUUUUUAGUUAUUUCUUUUUAUUCCUUUUUUGAUAAUUUGGUACAUUGAUUUAAAUUUUUCCUCAACAAAAUAAUGAAUAUUCUAAAUAAACCCUUAAGUUGUACACACUCACAAACUUUUAGUAUAAACCCCAGAUAUUCAGGGAGUCUGGGAGAAUGCUCGCUCGAUGUUUUUGUUUGAUCUAAGUGAGAUACUUGAUUGGCUUGAGCUGAAGCUAAUUCAUAUCUAUUUAAAACUGUUUAAAUCCACAUAUAAGUUGAUUGUGGGUUCAACUCCACCUUCUUCUUGACUUACCCUCAUUGAUGCUGGCCUGCUACCUUAGCCUCCUCCUCUUCCUUUCAAUCUACAGCAAAGAAAAACUCUAGGUAGCUUAUUGAUAGAUAUAAAUUUUAAAUAUUUAUCUGGCUUAGAUAUAAACUAUUAAGAAUUUCUCAAAGCUGUUAACAAGGUUAUAGGAGGAAUAAGAGCUAGAUUAGGCCCAAGAGAGACAUUGUGUCACGGGCAACAAUGAUCGCCCAAGCUGGAGUAUUUGGCUGCUGCAAGGGAGAUCUUCAAUGUGAGAGGACGACAGCCUAGCUCAAGAACAGGAGGAUGAUCAAGGGCAGAGAUUUUUUUCUUGAAGAGGAUGCCAGAGAUGGACGACUUCCAUGGUUAGAGACGUAUUGCAAAGGGCAGGCUCAACGAAGAAGAGGAACUGUCUGGAAUAAUUUUUUUGACUUUUUAACUUGUUGACCUUCUUGAUUCUUUAAAAAAUAUAAUCCGAUAUUUUAAGUAUAUUCCUUACACCGAGCACAUCUCAGAACUGAACAACAAACAAGGAGAAAUGAUGCAUCUUAACUUCUAUUGCUACAGACUCUUGCCUCGCGAUAAACAAGUCCUGGUCUGCAAAAAUAUCCUUUGUCUGGAGCACAGUGCCUAGCUUCGCUGCAAACACACAGUCCUUCCAAAGCACAUCCAUCCUUUGCUGUCACCGGACUUCCUCGGAUUCCCAGCACAGCAUCAGACCAAUCACUUGAAAACCAUCCUUGUGGAUCCAACUUCCUCCUAGCCGAAAGAAACUUAGACAAAUUCUUCGUCUUCCUUCCAAUGUCCCGGAAUGCAUGCGGCCUGUUCUUCCCGAAGUGUGGCUUCCCGUUAUACUUAAACAGUAAAAGCUGCUCUAUCUCCUCAGCAACGUCCUCGUACGUCUGUGGUUCCCCUGGCCUCCUGUCUCGGAACGUCAUGAACUCAAUAUUUGCUGCGUCAGUCUUCGGUCCAAGGUAAGCCUGAGAAGCUUUCAAGUAUCUAAUCAGUAAUGUCAUGGAAGUGUCAAGCAGACAGAGACGUUCUGGCGACAAGUCUCUCAACUGCUUCACGUCUCGGAUAAAGUUGCCAACAUCGCUGAUGGAGAUAGCUAUAGAGACGUGGAACCAGAAUUGGCCAUAAGCUCGGAAGUCCCAGCCGCAGACGAGCCUCUCAGACUCCGGAAGAGCCAAAUUGGUGGAGUUGCUGUAGGUGUACUGGCAGCCUCCGCGAGCUUGAAACUUGUGGAAGUAUCCGACCACAGGGAAUCCCGAGAAAUGUUGCUGCCGCUCAUCAUUGAAUAAUCCGCCACCCGUGGAAGUAACGGUGUUCACGGUGUUCUUAGCAACGGAGCAGAAGAAGGUUGAAUUCCCAAUCGCUUCAGCUGCUUCUUCUGGAAAACAUUCAAUUUUAAGAUCAGUCGGAGAGCACGAAAGGAAAGGAAAAUCCGGGACAGGGAUAUAGAAGACUGACGGCUCAGUCUUGAACUCCUGGCAGCAGCAGCCUGAACGGGAAGAAACAGAGAUGCAGCGCCAUUUCCUGGCACCGAGAGUGGCGCUUUGUCAUCGAUCCUCGACACAAAUUUCUUCUGCGAACUGUACCACGACACUUCCGCAAACUCGUGCUCCCGAGCCAGUGUCAAGAAGUCCUCUUCCAGAGACGCAUCGUCCGCCACCGCCAGCGUCACAGACCUCUUCGUCAUGGGCUGUACGGAGAACGUGAGCUGGGAAACAGCUCCAAGAACUCCCAGCGAGAUCCUGGCGGCGUGGAACAGAUCACUCCCCUCCGCGACCGUGACAACUUUAGCAAAGCCUUCGUUCUUGGAGGCCGGAACGACGAUUCUCAUGGACACAAGGUACUCGUAAGUUCCUCCCCCGCGACCCCAAAGGCUGCUGCCAUGGGCCCCCGUGCUCACCAUGCCCGCCGGCGACACGCCGUCCCAGGCGAUGGUCUGGUGCAAAGUCAC